UUUGAGACACGUAAUAUUUAAUUUCUUAAAAUGCACACAACUGAAAAGUUGUAGAUGCAUGCCUCGGACCGGAUUCGAACCCUCCGGAAUCGGAGGCAGAGGUAUCCACAGGGCUAUCACGGAUCCACAAACUAUACCUCUUUAUAAAAUUAGCAUAGAUUUGUAUAGGCAUUGACACUUUUAAUUGUAUGUGAUAUUUACUAAGUGUACCGGUUUAACUAGUUACUAUACUAUAAAUAAACAUAAAUGUUUAAUUGCAACACUACAUCUUGAAGUAAUAAAUACUGUGUUAUUUGUAAUUUAAGUACAGUUCGCAAUGUUUCCCACAUUAUAAAUUCUAGAAUGUAUCUAGAAUCCAUUAUAACUCUGUAGUCUGUAUAUAGCCAUAGUUUUGGACCGUUACAGUUCAAGUAUGGGGUCAGGUGGGGGUCUCACCUGUCGUCACGGCAGGUGGUCACCCCCCGUGCUUGACGGCGUAUGACGUAACCAUGGUGAUUUUGUAACUAUACGAAUGAUUGUUUUUAAAUCAUUCAACAAUGAAUUCAAUGAUUGAUUAAGAAAUCAAUCGAAUCGAAAUAUAUAUUUUUUUGGUAUAUUUGUUAGGUAUAUUUGUUAGGUAAGAGUAUAGGUCGUGGAGAAAUAUCUAUAUAUCUGUAGACUAGCUGACGCCGUGCGGUUUAACCCGCGUGGUUCCCGUUUUCGUAGCCUUCCUCGAUAAAUGGGCUAUCUAAUACUGAAAGAAUUUUUCAAAUCGGACCAGUAGUUCCUGAGAUUAGCGCGUUCAAUCAAACAAACAGACAAACUCUUCAGCUUUAUAAUAUUGGUAUAGAUAUUCAUCUCCUACCCCCACUCCCUUAUUUUUAAUCGAGAUUUUAGUAUUUUUAUAUUUGUCGGCGGAGCAGACUAAAUUCCACUUCUGAUAACGGAGACGUAGUCUAAGAGCAGGUUCUAAUUUUCACGUGUCAAGGAUGGCAGAUACACAAAGUAACACUAUCAAUCAUUACCGAAUCGAUCAUUUAACUUAUUAUUACAGUUCUACCCUCUACUGCGCUACUACUACUAGCGUCGCCACGUCCGGCGUGGUGGAAACCUUUCACAGUCUUAUUUAUUUAAAAAGUAAAUAUUUAAAUCCCAAUUACAUGAAAACCUGAUUCUAAUAUUAUCACAAUAAUUAACGUAGAUUUUGCUAACCAAUCAAAUGUCUCUCUCGUCGACAUAUUAAUUAUUUUCGUAUGUCGGGACAACCUUUGCCGUGUCAGCUAGUUGUGUAUACAUAUAAAAAGAUCUGUAAAAAUCCUUUAUAACUUUAAAUAUCUAUGUACAUAAUAGACAGUAGUCUGAACUCGUAUUCACCAUUCUACACACAGCGUAUUGUCUAUUGAUUCAGCCCCAAAUCACAACAAACGACAUACAAUGCCGUAUUCAGAGAGACGGCUAUAAAGCGACUCAAUAGAACAAAUGCCUUAUUGUUUUGUCGGAAAUGGGUACGGCAGGAAAUCUCGUCGUGUCUUACGGUGGAAUUCAUAGUCGUAGCAGGGGGCCCCUAAGGGGAUUAUUCAGCCGCUAUGUGUCGAAUUCAAUCCCUACGCGUUUCAUAGACAAAAGAAACCCCUCAUUUGACAGGAGCUGGCGGCUGACUGCUGAAUUACCGAUAUUUGUCAGCCAAACCAUCCCCUGGCAUUUUUUUUUGUUGUUAUUCGUGAUUUAUUUAUUAGAAAGUGGACGUUCGGAUCGUUAUAAAUGAAGUUAUAAACAGCGAGUUAUAUCAGUGCCCAAGAUAUAUAUUCGCAAUUGCGUAAACCCAGUAUAAUACUAUGGCGAUAUGGAAUGUACGAAAGAUUCUCAUAUUAGGCAUAAUAUGCCACUGUUUGAUGAAGAAUGAACACAGAAGACCAAGAGAGGAAUACCAAUACCGCUAGUAUUAUACAUUCUAGCAGCACUUCGAUUCUAUGAAACGGGAUGUUAUCAGACUGUAGGUGCAGUCCAUCAAGCAUUCUAUGAAAUAACAUAAAUGCCAAAAGUCAAGCUGUAUUGAUGUCAUGCAUAAGUAUACAUAUAAACAACCCCGGAGGACCCUAUACACAGAUUUAAAGAAACCGGCUAUCAUGGCAGGGAAUAGCAGUGAUGAGCUCUGAGAAUACUGUUUUACCAAGAAUACUGAGAAUACUUUGGUCCUUGAAAAUCUGAGUUUUCAGAUCACAGUAAUUGGAAGACCCUCAUACCUUGAAAAGUCAGCAGCAUUUAAUAUUGAAGUAGUAGGAGUGAGUGCAGUGUAUUGUAAGGUGGUCACUCACUAUGAAGUCCAUAACAAUAGAAAAUAUAUACAAAUCUUAAUUGAAUGAAUGAUUGAAAAUAAAAAUUUAUUGAUUCAAAUCUUUAAUAAAGAUAAUUAUUAAAUGUUUACUUCUGCAUUUUUCAUUUAAGUCUAGCCCUAUAAAAAUAUACAAUAAUAACAAUAAGUUAUAUGUAAAUUAUGUAUUUAUUGUUGUUAUUAAUUAAACUUUGUAUCAAAAGGAUAUAGGUUUGAUUUUAGAAUUGCAAUAAGUGUGUGUGGUUCAUUAUUAUCAGCCCAUUACCGGGCCAAGCUUACCUACUAAAUACAUAUAUAAUAUUAUGUGAUCUAAAGCUUUGUGAAAUGCAAUUUUACCACUAUUCCUAAGGAUAAGCUACACUUAUAUUUAUUUACUGCACUUACUAUAAAUUGUAAAAAAAUACAGCAUAAUAGUACCUACUUGUAAUUAUUUCAGGUAAUUAUAGGUGGUUUUGAGUAAAAUAAACAAAUUUCCUCUGACAA